GCGUGCUUAACACAUGCAAGUCGAACGGAAAGGCCCUGCUUUUGUGGGGUGCUCGAGUGGCGAACGGGUGAGUAACACGUGAGUAACCUGCCCUUGACUUUGGGAUAACUUCAGGAAACUGGGGCUAAUACCGGAUAGGAGCUCCUGCUGCAUGGUGGGGGUUGGAAAGUUUCGGCGGUUGGGGAUGGACUCGCGGCUUAUCAGCUUGUUGGUGGGGUAGUGGCUUACCAAGGCUUUGACGGGUAGCCGGCCUGAGAGGGUGACCGGCCACAUUGGGACUGAGAUACGGCCCAGACUCCUACGGGAGGCAGCAGUGGGGAAUAUUGCACAAUGGGCGGAAGCCUGAUGCAGCAACGCCGCGUGCGGGAUGACGGCCUUCGGGUUGUAAACCGCUUUCGCCUGUGACGAAGCGUGAGUGACGGUAAUGGGUAAAGAAGCACCGGCUAACUCGGGGGCC
rnacentral:rRNA from 1 species